rnacentral:misc_RNA from 1 species
GAUGAAGAACGUAGCGAAAUGCGAUACUUGCUGUGAAUUGCAGAAUCCCGCGAAUCAUCGAGUUUUUGAACGCAAGUUGCGCCCGAAGCCAUCAGGUUGAGGGCACGUCUGCCUGGGCGUCACAUAUCGUUGCUCGAUGCCUAUCGCAUUGCGAUAGGACUUAGGGCGAAUGAUGGCUUCCCGUGAGCGUUGUUGCCUCGCGGUUGGUUGAAAAUCGAGUCCUUGGUAGGGUGUGCCAUGAUAGAUGGUGGUCGAGUUAGAACGAGACCGAUCAUGUGCAUGCUCCCCAAAAUAUGGCCUCUGUGACCCACACGCGUCUUUUGACGCUCAUGACGAGACCUCAGGUCAGGCGGGGCUACCCGCUGAAUUUAAGCAUAUCAAUAAGCGGAGGA